AUUCGGUUGCUCGACAGAUUCGAACGAAUUUUUUCACUGCUAACAUUUUUUAUGCUAUCCUGAUUUUGGCUCAUUUGAUUAUACAGCUUUGGUUGACUAGUUGUCACUUAUGAGUUAUGUUUUAACUUAAAAGUUUGACUUCUUGUGGCAAUGCUUAGGGAAGAUGGGGUAAGACGGACCAGCUAAGGAUUGAAGUCAAAGAUCUUGCUACACUGCUCUGGAACCUCAUAUUGAUUCCUCUCCCUUUUAGCAUAUGCAAAGGCUGGAUUUUAAAUUGAAGAAACCUAAAUAUCGGUUGCUCUUAAAGGAGGAAAAGUCAGAAUCUCCGACAAGAAAAAAAAGGCGAGGCGGCUCUGGAAGUUGCGGGCGGCGGCCGCCAGGGCCGCCACCACUCUGGUCUCCCGGACCUCCAAGUCCGGAUGGAUACUGCCGAUCUAAUUUGAUGUUGAUUGCUGCGAUUUGAAGCACGGAGGAAGAUAGAAGGCCCGCCGGUGUUGUUGGGCUCCACGCCGGAAGGACCGCUGGCGAAGUAGCAGAGUUAUGUUCAACAAGCUGCCUGGGAGCCUGUGCUAUCGGAAUAAGGAGCUUGCUGUGAGAUUGACGAGUGGCCGAGAACAAUACAGCUUCUGUUAAACAUAAAAGAGAAAAGACCCACAAAAGGAGGCGGGAUUCCAGCAGGAUUCCCGAGUUCAUCAAGCAGCGUCAAAACGCAACGAGAGGCAACAACCCUACUUACCCUACCCCACCUACCCUACUUACCUUACCCCACCUACCCUACUUGCCCUAACCCACCUAACUUAACCACCCUACCCUACCUACCCAUCCCUAUCCUAACCUACCCCAUCUACCCUACCUUCCCCACACAGCACCACCUUACCCACAACACCCGACCCUCCUACCUACCUUACCUACCCACACUUCACCAACAUACCCUGUCUACCCAACCCACCCUACCUACCCAA